CUAGGACGCGCAAGGAUCAUUACUCGAGCUUGAUUCGAGCUCCGGCUCGACUCUCCCACCCCAUGGUGUACCUACCUCUGAUUGCUUUGGCGGGCCGCGGGUCCUCCGCACCGACCCCCGCUUCGGGGGGCCGGCCAGCGCCCGCCAGAGGACCACAAAACUCCAGUCAGUAAACGUCGCAGUCUGAGAAACAAGUUAAUAAACUAAAACUUUCAACAACGGAUCUCUUGGUUCUGGCAUCGAUGAAGAACGCAGCGAAAUGCGAUAAGUAAUGUGAAUUGCAGAAUUCAGUGAAUCAUCGAAUCUUUGAACGCACAUUGCGCCCCUUGGUAUUCCGAGGGGCAUGCCUGUUCGAGCGUCAUUUCAACCCUCAAGCUCUGCUUGGUAUUGGGCUCCGUCCUCUUGUGGACGCGCCUCGAAGACCUCGGCGGUGGCGUCUUGCCUCAAGCGUAGUAGAAAACACCUCGCUUUGGAGCGCACGGCGUCGCCCGCCGGACGAACCUUUGAAUUUUUCUCAAGGUUGACCUCGGAUCAGUGUAGGGAUACCCG
rnacentral:rRNA from 1 species